CACUCCUACGGGAGGCAGCAGUGGGGAAUUUUGGACAAUGGGCGAAAGCCUGAUCCAGCCAUGCCGCGUGCAGGAUGAAGGCCUUCGGGUUGUAAACUGCUUUUGUACGGAACGAAACGGCCUUUUCUAAUAAAGAGGGCUAAUGACGGUACCGUAAGAAUAAGCACCGGCUAACUACGUGCCAGCAGCCGCGGUAAUACGUAGGGUGCAAGCGUUAAUCGGAAUUACUGGGCGUAAAGCGUGCGCAGGCGGUUAUGUAAGACAGUUGUGAAAUCCCCGGGCUCAACCUGGGAACUGCAUCUGUGACUGCAUAGCUAGAGUACGGUAGAGGGGGAUGGAAUUCCGCGUGUAGCAGUGAAAUGCGUAGAUAUGCGGAGGAACACCGAUGGCGAAGGCAAUCCCCUGGACCUGUACUGACGCUCAUGCACGAAAGCGUGGGGAGCAAACAGGAUUAGAAACCCCGGUAGUCCC
rnacentral:rRNA from 1 species